rnacentral:lncRNA from 1 species
UUUUUUGUAGUGACAAAACUAACCAAAUUCUCUUGCCCUGGCCGCCUCAUGUCAAUUGUCAUGCCUCCAUCAGGAGGUCAAAACGGGGAAGAAAAGUAAAACACAUGCACUAUAAAUAAAGUUGUUGGAGAAAAGGGUUAGGGUUUAUAAAACUCAGAAACAAGAAUGAGGCUCCAGAGGGAAGGAAUGUUUCAAAGGGUAGUUGCCCCCUCUGUUAAAUUUGUGUGAUCUUCUUCCGAUCCUUCAUUUAUUGGGCCUAUGAUUUCAUUUUUGCAGAUAGCGAAAUCAACAACCCUUUUGUGUGUGUGCGUGCGUGCGUGUGAACUCAGCUUCUGCUGCUGUACUACUAUAUAUAUAUAUACUCCUUCCUUCCUAAAUAACGGAUCAUACAAAUAUUCAAGAGGCUGUGAUGAUGAAUCAAUUUUUCUGAGUCUAAUCGGGCAGUGAGAGAAUGUGACCCGUAUCUUGGCGGGGCAACCCGGAGGGUAUGUGAGAGAUCGAUGGAUUGGUUAACCUAAUCUUCUUUCCCUCUCAUGCAACUGUUGGUUGCAGCCAUGGCGGUGUCACCCUCUUGCCUGAUACAUUACAGAUCUGAGCCUCACCUCACCUAAUUAUUUUUAAAUUACUAUUUAGUAGAAUUUUACUCCCCUGAUUCUUUCUAGAAGGGGAAAUAUGAGUAAUAAUAAUAGUAUUUCAUUUCUCAAUAUCUUUGAUUUGAUGUUAAGGGAAAGGAAGGGUGGAUCUGUUCUUGAGAAAUGGGACAAAUUAUGCAAUUUUAGUUGAGCCCAAAAGUGAAAAAAAGUAUCUUUCCAUAUUUCUUGCUCACUAUCAACCGCCAUUUCGUUUAAUUUUUUUAUCCAAUUGCACUUGUAUCAAAUUAGAGUACAACAUGGAUAAACCAACCAAGAAAUUUUUCCUAUGUUGACUAGCAAAACUACCCCAUAUGUUUGUUGGUCAACAUUAUGGUCUUAGGACCCGUUCUUAUUUCAAGUAGAUUUUACAAGUCAUUUAUAAAAAUAAUGAAGGGUAAAGUUGUCAUUAUAUAUGCUUAUUAGAAAUGACUUGUACGAAGUAAAAAUUUGUCGGUAUUUCUAAAAAAU